GUUGGAUCUUUCAACAUCCUUACUCAAAAUGGGAAAUUCUGAAGUGGAAGACAGUCCCCAGUAUAGCUGUGAAGAGACUACAAGUAGCCAUAAUUCAAAUAAAAAUAGAAGAAGCAAAGCAAAAAAAAAAGAGGGCGUCAACAAACAACUUAUCCGGUGCCACUAUGAGGACCUGGAAGGCGUGGAGGAGAGCAGGGAUCAGCAGUGCUCACAGAGUUUCCGGCUGGAGCUGCUGGAGAAGAUGCCUCAGAUGCCAAUUGUCAGAAAGGCUGACCCCAACAUGAAAAAAUUCCAUUAAGCUCUGGUGGAUGGCUCCUCUCUGACCUAACGAACAGUAGCAGUGAUGUUUAAUCAGGACAGAGGCCUGGUGAUCAGCAGAAAAGGAAACAUCAUAAGGGAAUGGACCUGGCCUUCAAAGGGAAUACUUGAUAAUCCAGAGGAAAUUUGGGUAAAUAGGUUCAUCACUGUGAAGAUUUCUGGACGUUCUGCCACCACCUUGGUCUACAAGUGGCAUUCCCAAAGCCUGAAGCUAUCUUUGGCACCUGUAAAAUGCCAGCCUUUCCCUCCAUGCCUACCCAAGGUGGGUUCCUCUUCCCAUUGAAAGCAAGGAUACCUGGUUUGCUUCCCAGCUGGUUUGUCCCAUGGUCCUAAGGAGAACACUGUGCAGGGACACAGGACACACGUACCAGUGUAGCUCUCACAGCAUCCUGAAAGUGACAGACCUGGAGUAUGAUCACCUUAGAAGCAGCCAGAUGUCCUCUGCGGACCAGGUCAUCAUAGUCUAUGUCUUCUCAGUCAUUCAGAUUCCUUUCGGUUGCUCAAAUAUAACAUUGUGUCUGCUUCUAAAUUCAUGGGCAGCAAUUGUCCUCUUCUUGUUCAAAGGCACAAUAUCAUCCCAGGAAUUUUUUUGAUGUACAUUCAGGCAAAAUUACCAUUUGCCAACUUAAUUUUCAAUGGCUAUAGCACAUCUGCUAAAGACCUUCAAAAGCAAAUUGUGAAGACAAGGACGGACUACUAUAUGGGAUAUUUCCUACCCAAUGACUUCAGAAUCCA
rnacentral:sRNA from 1 species